ensembl:lncRNA
GUAUCAAUCAGAGAAGUCUAUGCUUGUCAAAAUUGGUUGCCCCCAACAGGGAAAAAAUUCAGCAGAACUCAAAUUGAAACAAAAGGAUGGCAAUCCAAUCUAUGAAUGACAUUGUACUGAUUAUAUCAAACCUUCGAAUUCCUUUAGAAAUGAAAUCCAAUAUCAGCCUAAUUAUCUACCCAGGAAAAAUCACCCAUAGCAUUUGUCUAAUAUGUAUAUGCAUUUGAGUGUAUAUGUGUCCAUCAGUAUAUAUGUCUGUACACACUUAUAUGCACAUUCAUAUAUAUACACAUACACAGACAUCCGCAAGAUAGUUAGGUGAUGCAGAUGAUGCAAUGGAUACAGUGCUGGGCUUGGAAUCAGGAAGAUGAGACUUCAAAUUUUCAAAUCUGGACUCAGACACACAAAGAUUAAACUGGAGAACAGGCUGAUUGCCUCUGAGAAGUCCUUUUAAUAACUUCAGGAUCUCCCUGAAACAAAGACCUUUUAAAUAUCAACCUUCUUCUAGUGAAGUCAUAAGUACAGAAAACAUGGGAAUGGGAUAGUGAGAUGCUUUCUGUGUAUAAUCUACAUGGUCCAAGAAGAGAAUUAUUAUUUUUUUUCUUUUUUUUUCUUUUUUUAUUUAAUAGCCUUUUAUUUACAGGAUAUAUACAUGGGUAACUUUACAGGAUUAACAAUUGCCAAACCUCUUGUUCCAAUUUUUCACCUCUUACCCCCCCCACCCCCUCCCCUAAAAUAUAACUUAGAUACACAAUAAGUAUACAUGACCAAAACAUUAUUUUGCUGUACAAAAAGAAUCAGACUCUGAAAUAUUGUACAAUUAGCUUGUGAAGGAAAUCAAAAAAUGCAUGUGUGCAUAAAUAUAGGGAUUGGGAAUUCAAUGUAAUGGUUUUUAGUCAUCUCCCAGAGUUCCAAGAAGAGAAUUAAAGACCAGCUGAUAUGACUCAGUUUAAAGAGUAUGUUUCUAAGGUAGAGAAAGUGCCUUUUUCAAGUUACCAUAAUUUUACCCAAAAAAAUUCUAACCAGAGGAGUGCUGGAGUGAGUUCUACCAAUUCUCAAGAAGAUCAUUAUAUUUUCAAUGUGCAUUUUUUACACUUUGGAAAUUGACAGACUUCCUAAACUCAGGUUUGAUUUAUUUGUUGAUUUCUAGAAAGAAUUUAGAAAAUGUUAAUUCACAUGAAGUUUAAAAAUGUGCCAUAUAAACAUUAUUCUUCAUCCCUCCCACCCUCUACCAAAAGCUGGUUGUUAAACAUUCACUAGUGUACCAGUGCCCAAGACAAUAAAUUCCUUGGAUUCUAUAUUCACUCAACAAUCCCUUGUAUCUAGAUUCCACAAUCCCUUCCAAAACUGACUUAAUUUUUGUCAUUUUUAUCAAUUUGCUGAGUAUAAGGUAAAAUCUUAGAUUUUAUUAUACUUUUGAUAUAAUCUGCAUUUCUGUUUACUUUAAUGGUUUGGAGCAUGUUUGCAUGUGGUUGCUUAGUUUUCAAUUCUUUUGAAAAUUAUUUGUUCUUAUUUAUUGGGAAAUGGCCUUUGAUAUUACAUUUUUAUGCCAAUUUCCUGAAUAUCUUAGGCAGUAGACUUUUGCUGAUGAUAUUUAGGGGAAAUGUUUUGUCUUUUCUACAACUUCUACUUUUAUUGAUUUUAUGCGGAUUUUUUUGUUUAGAUGUUUUUGUUUUUGUUUUUGUUUUGUCACAUCUGACUUGUAAUCCCAUUUGGGUUUGUUUGUUUGUUUGGCAAAGCUUCUGGAAUGAUUUGCCAUUUCUUUCUCCAGUUCAUUUUACAGACAAGGAAACUGAGGCAAACAGAAUUAAAUGCCCUGAGCAAGUGCUCAGGGUAAGAUAACUAGUAAAUGUCUAAGGCAAGUUUUGAACUUAGACCACUGCCAUUCUGUCCACUAUACCACCUAGCUGCCCUAUGUAGUGUGUAGGAAACAUAAAUUAUUGAAGCUGCCUCUGCUGCCUAUUUUUGUACAGCCCAAGAAAUAGGAAUGAUUUUUACAUUUUUUAAGAAAAAUGUUUUGGUUUUUAAAAUGUUAAGAACAUUCUUAAUUGCACAUAUUUAAUCUAUAUUGGAUACUUGCUCUCUAGGGGAGGAGCAAAGGAGGGAAGGAGAAAAAUUUGGAACACAAGGUUAUGCAAGAGUGAAUGUUGAAAAUUAUCUUUGCAUGUACUUUGAAAAAUAAAAAGUUAUUAUUAUUAUUUUUAAAAAGAACAUCCUUAGUUCAUUCUUACUUUCACAGCUCAGUUACACCCCAGCAGGUGCUCUUAGGGCAUUCCUCAUCUCCUGACCAUCCUCCCUCAAUUUUGCCUUCCAGGAGGAGGAGGGGGAAGAGCAGUGAUACCAUCAGCACCACUUAUGCAGCAACUUUGUCAACCCACUAUGACAGGAUUACAAAAGGCAUUAGUUAAAACUAAAGAAGAAGGACAGGAUACAUCUGAUUUGAGAAUAGAAGCAUACCCUGUGACUGAAGAGUUUGACUCUUCAGGUCAAACCAGGAGAAGAUACAUUCCUUUUAAUCUGGAAAUUAUCAAGGACCUGAAAAAGGCUUGCACUCUUUAUGAGUCUACAUUAUCUUAUGUUAAGAUGUUAUUAGAGAAUUUGGCUUUUGAAAUUUUAACCCUUAAUGAUUGGAAAUCGAUAGCAAGGACAUGUUUAGAACCUGGACAAAACUUGUUGUGGCUUUCUGAUUAUAGUGAACUCUGUAGAAUAAUUGUACUACUCAAUUAAUGGCCUUUAAUAAGAUUCUAGCCACAAGCACUGGGUAAGGAGUAAGGUUUUGUUCUGAUUGUGCUGGGAGGUUCACCAACUCUAUCACACUGUGUUCUUGAUGAAGGACUGCUGUGGGUGCCUUUUGUGUAGCAAAAACUGAUAUUUUCAAGGGCUUCUGAGUAACUCUUUCAAUCACAUUGGAAAAAGCCAGUUCAACUUCUUUCAAAGCCUCUUGAGCUUCUUUUGUAAGCUGGCAUGGUGAGUUGAAAGCACUGUCUCCCCUUAAAAUGUCAUAUGAUGGUUGUAAUUGAUAGGUAGUUAAGCCGAAUACUGGACACAUCCAUUGGAUAUCUCCUAUCAAUUUCUAAAAGUCAUUUAAAGUGUUCAGCUUCUCUGUUCUUAAAGGAAGUUUUUGUACUGUAAGCACCUUAGGAUAUACUUCAUAUCCUAAAUAUUGAAAAGGAGGGUGCCUUGAAUUUUUCUGGAGCUAUAUGCAAUUUGUAGUUCCUUAGUGUUUCUAUGGUCUUUUGUAGACAUGCUUCUAACAUUUGCUCCUCAGGUGCACAUCCCAAUAUAUCAUCCAUGUAAUAUAACAACAUAACUUUUAAGAAAUGCUUUUUUUUACUGGAGUAAGAGCAGCAGCAACAUAUAUUUGACACAUAGUAGGACUAUUUUUCAUUCCUUGUGGCAAAACUGCCCAUUAAUAUCUUUUAUAAGGCUCAGCUAAGUUAAAGUUGGGCAUUAAAAAAGCAAAUCUUUUCAUGUCCUCCUUAUUUAGAGGGAUAGAAUAGGAACAAUCCUUAAUGUCUAUAACCCAAAGAGGCCAUUCUCUAGGCAAUUGAGUAGGAGAUAGAAGUCCAGUCUGAAGAGUUUCCAUAGUUUUCCAUCUGUUCAUUUACUUUUCUUAAAUCAGUCAACAUCUUCCAUUUUCCAGAUUUCUUUUUUUUUUUUUUUUUUUUUUUACAAUAAAUACAGGGGAAUUCCAAGGAUUUAGAGAAGGUUGUAAGUGUCUUUGGUCAAGUUGCUCCUGUACUAUAUCUAAUAAAACCUGAAUUUUAUCACUAGCUAAGGGCCACUAUUCUACCCACACUGCUGUAUCAGUUUUCUAUUGAAUGGGAACAGGUGAGAGUGUUGGCAGGCCUUCAACAGCAGCCCUGCCUAAAAAGCUGAAGUACUCCAUUAUAAUCCUAACUGUUGUUAAGAUGUCUCUUCCACAUAGAUUGAUGGGGAUUUUUCAACUACAAAAGGAAUAAAAACUCCUGUUUCAUCUUCAAAUAUCCAUCUCAAAGGGAUAGCACUAACUUCAGCUGCUAUUGAUCCUCCUGUGCUAUACAUAUAGGUGUCUGCCUUAAUCUUUGGCCAAUGACUGGGCCAAUUAGCAUUUUUAAUGACUAUACUAUCUGCACCCAUGUCUACUAACCCUUUCAGUGGUAUGACAUUUACAUAGACAGUGACUAUAGGUCAGUCAGCUAUAACAGCUACAGUCUAGAAUAUUCCUGGAUUCUGUUGGGAGUCAAAAUCUGGGUAAAUAUCACCAAAUUGUCUAUUAGGAGUAUGAAUCAGCAAACCUGAUGCUACUACUUCUCCUGGGUGAUAGAUCACACAUUGUCUACCUGUGUUAAUGCCUGGCAUAUUAGCUAUACAUUCCCCAGUUUCCCACAUCAGUGUAUGGAUGAACACUGUUUUGUAACUACUCUCAGGACGUGAAAUGGUCAAGUCUACUGUGCCUGGAGGCAAAAGAUCUAUAGGCUAUAAAGAGAUUUCACCUCUCUAGGAGAUGUCAGUAGUCCCAGCUGCAUACAAUUCUGUUCUCCCCAAUUGUAAUCCCUUUCUUCUAUCAGGUUGCUUCUCAGCUGAUUGAUCAUGUGAGAGUACUGAACUUCUAGAGACUUUCUGGGCAUAACAUUGGCUACUAUCAUGCCCCAAGUGUUUUUUGCCUGGAGCCCAGGAGUUGAACUCUGCUUCCUGUUUCCCUGAGUCAAUCUAUAUUCUGAUGCCCAAUGGAAGCCUUUGUUGCAUUUUGGACAUGGAGUUUUGGGUCUUGUUUUCCCACCUGUUUUUUCACUCUAUCUUUAUGCCAACAUUGAGCUUUCAAAUGCCUUACUUUACCACAUUGAAAGCAUUGAUGAGUCUCUCUGGAAGUUCCUUGCCAAAAGGGACCCUGUCUUACCAUGUUCAGGUCUUGAAAAGUCUGCAUCCUAGUAUAAUUCUUCUAAAACCUCAUUAGCAUUUUCUUUAGUAAGUUGUCUUAUCAUAAUUUCUGUUGCUGCAUUUUCACUAGCAGUUUGUGUGACAGCUGUCUGCAGAUGUCCCACGAAAUCAGCAAAGGGUUCAUUUGGACCUUGUGCUAUAUUUUUGAAGGCUUCUGCUCUAUCUUGUCUUCCUGGGAGGGUGCCCCGUGCUUUGAUGCAGCAGAAGCAAUUUGCUCAAAGAAUAAUCAGUCUUCACUAAAGUGUCUGCAUAAGGACUUACACCUGUUAGUUGGUCAAAGGUGACUGGUAUAUUCACUCCAGGUUGCCUUUUUUGUUGAUUGUAUUCUACAGAGUUCACUAUACUCAGAAAGCCACAACAAGUUUUGUCCAGGUUCUAAACAUGAUUUCCAAUCAUUAGGGGUUAAAACUUUUUUGCUUUUUAGCUUUAAUUAGUACCUUUUGUAAUCGUGUCAUGGGGGUGGACAAAGCUGCUGCAUCAGUGGUGCUGAUGGGUGUCAUUGCCCUUCCCCCACCUCCUACUUCUUCCACUCAGGAAGGCAAAAUUGAGGGAGGAUGGUUAGGAGAUGGGGAAUGCCCUAAGGGCACUUGCUCAGGUGUAACUGAGCUGUGAAAGUGAGAAGCACCACACCCCUUAAAUUCAUCAGAGCUGUACUUAAUUCCUUUCUUGUCCAAUUUUCCAUGCUUUUCAACUGCUCUGUCAGUACCAUUCCCCUCUUGCUCUUUCUCCUCAUAUUUCCUUUUCUGGCUGUCUACCUUAAAACCUUAGAAUUUGUGGGAUUCUUUAAAGCCAAUUGUAUCAUAUUGUACAUAAGGAAUGUUUCCUCAGGGAUUGAAUUAGGACCCAUAGCUUCAUAAUAUUCAAUUAAUUGCUCUCCCACUAUUUCCCACAUAUCUGGCUCUAAUUUUUCUUCCUUAGAGAUCCAAGGGGAUGUGUAUUCUAAUAUAUUUAAGAGUCAGUGAUCUGCUUCCAAGUUACCAACAAACCUUGCUUCUUUAUUAGCUUUACUAUGCAUUCUACAUACUUCCAUUGGGGUGGGAGAGACUCUUUUCUUACUAUUUACCCCAUUUCAAGUGAAAAAAACAAAAGUGACUAGUUUAGUCCUUACCAAAGUUUCCUGCUUGUCUAUUUUUAUACUCACCUAUUUCUGGGUCACCGGGACUUCUCCACUGAACUUAUGAUUGUGUCAGUCGAACUGAUUUGUGCCCUGCUUUACAAGGCCCUGCAUUUCUGGGGCCCCACAUUUAAGUGCCAAAAUAUAAUAUCCAGGCUAGCUUUCUGGAGAAUCUCUGGAUGAGCCUUGGUCUUUAGGUGGAGAAGUGAUGAAAGCAGGAGAGCUACCACGAAGCAGGUCAAAGAUGGAGUCAGGAAUCUGGAAUUUAGAUUCUCGAGUCUUCUCUGUGUCUGUGGCUGAGAGACUCCUCUGUGUCUGAGACUCCCUUAAAUACCUCAGUAUGAUUGCAUCACUACAGCACACUGUUUAGGAGAGCCAUUACAUCACCAUAUCACAUUAAAUUUUAAAUAUGUUUAAAGAACCAUUAUCUCACACUGAGUAGGUGCUUAACUAUAAGCACCCUGUUGCCCUGUAUUCAAGUAUACCUUUUCAGAGUUCUUGCCCUCUAUAAUUCCUUGUGGUACUAAAAUAGAUAUGAAGUAGGAUUUGAUCCUUAGUCCAGGUGAAUACAACUUACAAUUUAUACUAUAAUAACUCAAAAUGGAAUACAACAUGGAAUAAAAGGUCACAUCAUUUAAAAAAUUGGAAAUGAGGCCAGGUAUCUUUUGAAUAUUAAGAAUUGAAAUUGAAUUGAAAAUAGAGGUUCACAAAAGGCACAUGGGCAAUUUAAUUACAUAAAAGAUAUAUUUGUAUAUAGAGGCAGCUCUUAUGUUCCAGUCAUUUUGCUAAACAUUGGGAAUACAGAUAUUAGCAAAUUAGUCAGUUGCUGCUCUCAAACAGCUUAUAUCCUAUUAGAAAAUGAAAAUACAGAGAGGGAAAUGGUAUCACUUUGGACAAGCAAGUUGAAAAUGUGGUGAUUAGCUAUUGAGCAACUGAUGUAUCAUUUCCAGAAAUAGUUGUUUUGUUAUUAUUGUUGUUCUCAGAAUUAAAAUUGGAAUUAAAAAAGUUCUCAGAAUUCCCGCGCCCCACCCCCCCCCAGAAUGGGACGGGAAGGGGCACAUGAGCAGUAACAUUCCAUAGGGCACGAAGAUAGCUGAGAAAUGUCAUGGAGGGCCUGAUUCUGGCAAGAUAAAGUGAUUGAUCAGAAGUCCAGAAUCCCAGAUUAAAACUUGAGUGCUAAGUUAAACGUGAGGGCUGGAACACAGGAGCCUUGAAAGGAUCAGAUGGUCUUGAAAUAGUGAUUGGUCCAUCAUGGGGAUCUUUUCGAUUUAAUUCCAAAUAUGCCAUCUGUUUGUCUAUCUCCUACUUAAUAAGUGACCUCUUAAUGGAAAAACCAAUAGGUAAAAUUAAUUAGCAAGUGAAUGCAUCUAGAAGUAUUUGCAACAUUCUGCCCCAGGAGUACCUACUCUUUCUGUUGAAUGGAGAAAGGUGCUUUCUCAACUCUUCUCCAUCCUGAACACUUUAAAACACAAUUUGGAACAUAACACUAUGCCUUUUAUUUUUUUGGCUGAGGCAAUUGGGAUUAAGUGAUUUGCCCAGGGUCACACAGCCAGAAAGUAUUUAAGUGUCUGAGGUCAUAUAUGAACUCAGGUCCAUCUGACUUCAGGGUUGGUGCUCUAUCCACUACCAGGGGUCCUCAAACUAUGGCUCUCGAGCCAGAUUUGGCAGCUGAGGACAUUUAUCCCCCUCACCCAGGGCUAUGAAGUUUCUGUAUUUAAAGGCCCACAAAACAAAGUUUUUGUUUUUAAUAUAGUCUGGCCCCAUGAACUGGCCCCCUAUUUAAAAAGUUUGAGGACCACCAACUAGCUGCCCCAACAAUAUACUUUUAAACAAAUAGAGAAAGUUCAUAAAAUACAGUUCUCUGUGCUUGAAA